AUGUCAACUACUCCAUUGUUUCUCACUCACUCUCUCUCUUCUCUAUAUCUCUCUCUCUUCACAUCACACACAAUAAUGGACAGUGGAGGUGGUUUUCAUGGCUACCGCAAGCUCUCAACCACUAACUCUGGGACAUUGAAGCUAUCAUCAGUGUCUGAGAUGAACACGGGGCGGCAGGUAGGAGGAGAACAGAUCAACAACAACAACCAUUCAUCAAUAGGAUCAGAUAAAGACAAUGAAUGCACUGUUAGGGAAUAA